rnacentral:rRNA from 1 species
GCACAGCUUCGCAUGAAGCAGUGUGAAAAACUCCCGGUGGUACAGGAUGGACCCGCGUCUGAUUAGAUAGUUGGUGAGGUAACGGCCCACCAAGUCAACGAUCAGUAGCCGGCUGAGAGGGCGAACGGCCACAUUGGGACUGAGACACGGCCCAAACUCCUACGGGAGGCAGCAGUGGGGAAUAUUGCACAAUGGGGGAAACCCUGAUGCAGCGACGCCGCGUGAGUGAAGAAGUAUUUCGGUAUGUAAAGCUCUAUCAGCAGGGAAGAAAACAAUGACGGUACCUGACUAAGAAGCCCCGGCUAACUACGUGCCAGCAGCCGCGGUAAUACGUAGGGGGCAAGCGUUAUCCGGAUUUACUGGGUGUAAAGGGAGCGUAGACGGUAGACCAAGUCUGAAGUGAAAGCCCGGGGCUCAACCCCGGAACUGCUUUGGAAACUGGUAAACUAGAGUGCAGGAGAGGUAAGUGGAAUUCCUAGUGUAGCGGUGAAAUGCGUAGAUAUUAGGAGGAACACCAGUGGCGAAGGCGGCUUACUGGACUGUAACUGACGUUGAGGCUCGAAAGCGUGGGGAGCAAACAGGAUUAGAUACCCUGGUAGUCCACGCCGUAAACGAUGAUUACUAGGUGUCGGGGAGUUAAACUCUUCGGUGCCGCAGCAAACGCAAUAAGUAAUCCACCUGGGGAGUACGUUCGCAAGAAUG